ensembl:lncRNA
GUACAGGAGGCUAGUGAGGGGUAGUGGUGGCCUGGACGAAGGUUCUGGUAGGAAAAGUGGUAUCAUAUCAGGAUACAUUUUAUUUUUUAAACAGGGACAGUUUUUACUUUUAUUUAUUAAUUAAUUUUUUUUCUUUUUUUGGCUGCCCCUUGCCACAUGGAGUUCCUCAGGCCAAGGGUCAGAUCUGAGCCACAGUGUCAACCUACGCUGCAGCUGCGGCAACACCAGGUCCUUUAACCCCACUGUGGCAGGCCAGGGUUUAAAUCUGCGUCCCUGUGCUCCAGAGAUACAAUCGAUCCCAUCACACCUCAGUAGGAAUUCCUCAGGACACAUUUUAAAAGUAGAGUUGGGGAAUUCCUGUUGUGAUAUAGCAGAAACUAAUCUGACCAGGAACCAUGAGGUUGCGGGUUCGAUCCCUGGCCUCGCUCAGUGGCUUAAGGAUCGUGUGUUGUCAUGAGCUGUGGUGUAGGUCGCUCCAAUCCUGUGUUGCUGUGGCUGUGGUGUGGGCCAGCAGCUGUAGCUCCAAUUCGACCCCUAGCCUGGAAAUCUCCAUAUGCCACAGGUGCAGCCCUAAAAAGCAAAAAAAAAAAAUAAAAGUAGAGUCGGCAGGAUUUGCUAUGCUGUAUGUGGCAUGUGUGUGAGGGGGCACUCAGAAGAUCCCAGUGAUUUUGACCUGAGCGAUAAGGGGCAGAGGUGCCUCUGGCUCAGAUGGGGAAAGGCAGCAGGUGGAGCGGGCUGAGAGGCUGCCCCGUUUGCCAUCCUGCCAGCAGGGUCUGAGAGUUCUGCUCUCUCCACGUCCUUGCUAUAACCCUGAUGUCUGUCUUUUUGAUUCCAGCUGUCUUGUGGGUGUGAAGUGGUAUCUCAUUGUGGUUUUGACUUGCAUUUCCAUGAUGACUAAUGCAGAUGAGUGUCUCUUCAUGUGCUUUUUGACCAUUCAUAUAUCUUCCCUGGAGAAAUAUCUACUCAAGUUCUUUGCCUGUUUUAUUUUAUUUUUAUUUUGUGGGCACACCCACGGCAUAUGGAAGUUCCCAGGCCAGGGGUUGAAUACAGGCCACAACUUCGACCUAUGCUGCACCUGUGGCGAGGUGGGAUCCUUUGAACCCACUGCACCAAGCCAGGGAUUGAACUCACACCUCCACAGCGACCUGAGCCACUGCAUCAGAUUCUUAACCCACUGCUCCAUGGCAGGAAUUCCCUUUGCCGGCUUAAAAGAUUGGAUUGCUUGACAUUUUAUUAUUGCGUUGUCUUGUUUAUGUAUCCUAGGUACAAGUCCCUUACCAGAUAGAUCAUUUGCAGCUAUUUUCUCUCAUUUUAUGGGUUGUCUUUUCACUUCGCUGGUCGUAUUUUUAACUUCGAUAAAGCCCAAGUUAUCUAUUCUUUUCUUUUUUUUUUUGCUUGUGCUUCGGGUGUCAUAUCUAAGAAACCAUUUCCUAACCCAAGACUAUGAAGAUUUACUCCUGUGUUUUCUUCUAAGAAGAGUUCUUUUUUUCUUACAGAAGUUUUAUCAUGUCAGCUCUUAUAUUUAGGUCAUUGCUCCCUUUCGAGUUAAUUUUUGCACGUGAUGGCGGCGAAGGUCAACCUCAUCCUUCACAUGUGACUGUUUCGUUUUCCCAGCACCCUUGGUACCGUUCUUCCCACUGGACGGACCCUCAGCACCUUUGUCAAAGCUUAAUUGAUGGGAGGGCUUAUUUCCGGAUUCUCAAUUCUCGUCCAUUGCUCGACGCCUUAUUCCACCCAAAUGUGUCGACUGUAGCUUUGUAGUAAGUUUUGAAAUUCACAAGUAUGAGUCCAACUUUGUUCUUUUUUCUCAAGAUGAUUUUGGCUAUUCUGGGUCCUUUCCAUGUGCAUUUUAGAAGCAGUUUAUCGAUUUCUGCAAGAAAGGCAGCUGGGAUUUUGGUAGAAAUUGUGUUGAAUUUCGUUCAGUGAUGUUUUGAACACUGAUGUCUUGCACUUUCCCGAGUACAAAUUUUGAACGUUGUUAUAUUUGUUCCUAAGUAUUAUUAUUUUUGAUGUCGUUGUAAAUGAAGGCUUUUUUUUUUUUUUUUUUUUUUUUUUUUUUUGUCUUUCUGCCAUUUCUUGGGCCGCUCCUGCGGCAUAUGGAGGCUAGGGGUCUAAUCGGAGCUCCAGCUGCCUACGCCACAGCCACAGCAAUGCCAGAUCCAAGCCACAUCUGCAUCCUACACCACAGCUCAUGGCAACGCCAGAUCCUUACCCCACUGAGCGAGGCCGGGGAUCGAACUGUCAACCUCAUGGUUCCUAGUCGGAUUUGUUUCCACUGUGCCACAAUGGGAACUCCAGGAGCUUGAAUCAUAAUGACUAAUGGAGCGGCUCGCCCUCCGUUUUAGGUACCUAGUCCAAAUUCCACAGAGAAGAGGAAAGGGAAGGGCCGCAUCCUCAACUCAAGGCCUGCGGGCUCAUGAUCAGGCCCCUGUUGAAUGGCGACCAGUGAUAAGGACAGGUCAGAGAAUGCUCUGGAAGAGCCUGCCCACUCUCAGGCCCUAAAGGAAAGCAGAUCCCUGAUGGUGAGGCCUGGAAAACAGAGCAGAGGGUGGAUGAGCAGCAGCUCUGUGGGCCCUUCCCGCACCUGGCUCCAGCAGCAGAGUGGGAGGCUCUGUAAAUGCGAGUCGCAGACUCCCGGCCUUCCUGCCUCCCCAGCCAGGGAUCGGGCGACCGGCUGGCCAAUGUGACGCUGCCUCAGGUGUCUUGUUGGACAGUUAUUGGCGUCCCUGCAUGACCUUGAGGAGGUUACUUCUUCCUCCACCUCUCAGAGUGUAGGCCAGGUACACACACCUGGCAGCCCCUGUGUCUGGGCUCCUCCAGGGAGCCAGUGGCCAUUCCCUCUGCAGACUCCCUGUUCCCUCCUGGGGCAGCCAGUGCUAUUUUGGUGCCUGCAGCUCAGUACAGAGGCCCAAGGUCCCUGCGAGAAAGCCCACGAGACAGGCAAGGCAGGACGUGAGUAGGCUGCAACUGCUCGUUGCCUCUCUUGCUGACAAGUCCCCUCUCACGUCUCCCUCCAGCCCCCUCCUGAUCAGCGAACUGGAGAGGCGGCACUCAGGAAAAGCCAGCAUCUGUUAGGUAACUAGCUCAGCUGCCAUGCAGGGUAUGAUGUAAUCUUGGAUUCCGUGGUUGCUAGGAAAAUUCUGCCUGCAGGGAUAUUGCGUGGUCCGAGGACUGAGGCGAGAACAGAAUGUUCCCGAGAAGUCCAGGGAAGGAUGUGUAGGGCUUCCCAAGUGAAGGAGCCCCGUCCCAAGAACUCACGAUUUGAGCUUUCUAAAAGCGUGUUCCCCUUUGCAGGAAUAGAGGUCGUGCUGGGAACAGCAGAACCACAUCCAGGCAGGUGGGGCGCCCUUGGCUGGGUAACUCCCUUUGGCAGCACCUUGGCACUCUGGUCAGGCCCUCCUUCUGCAGCACCCACAGCUGGGCACCUCCUCCACUCCUCCGCGUGGCAGGGCAGUUAGGAAGGAGGUUGGCAGGAGGCUGGCAGUGGGAAGGGGUGACUGCCUAUGGGGUGGAUGGAAAUGGCCAUGUGGAGUGGGGGGGGGAAUCCUGUCCCCCUCCCCAACUCCAUGUCACGUGCCAGCCCCACCCACCCACCACCCACCCCGCAGUGGCCUUUCCUGUGUCUGCUGUCCCAACCUCCCCCCCAAGCCCCCUGGGGAGAAUUCCUCCAGCACAGCAGAAAAGAAUUACCUCUGAAAGGCCGCGGGCGUUAGUUAGGGCUCCAUCCAGGAUCGUGCUUUAGCAGAAGGGCAAGCAGUGGCAGGGCCCAGGUCCCUGAGUCUGGGUGGGACCUGCCGGUCCCCUCACCUGCCCUGCUCAGUCCUUCUUCCCCAGCAGCUUCGGGUGGGGGAGCAGGUCAGCACUGCAGGCUCUUUCCUGCCUUUCCUGGCUGCCUGUUGGAGCCAGUCUUACAGAAAACAAGACAAAGGAAGUGAUUUCAUGAGUGCCUGGACUAGAAUCCUCCAAUCCACCAUUAAAAAUGACAAUAAAAAGAUUAUGGCCGUUAUCUACAGAAGCCGGGCCAGGCACAGACUGGAAACAAGCCUGGCCAUGCUCCUUUGAGCAGAUGCUGGAUUUGGGCAAAGAGGAAUGGCUAUUAAAAAGCAUAACGGGGUAACGUGGAGCUCCCCGGUGCCCUAGUGGUUAAAGGAUCUGGUGGUGUCACUGCUUUGGCGUGGGUUCGAUCCCUGUCCCAGGAACUACCAUAUGCCGCUUCCACAUGCCAAAAAGAAAAAUCAUAACGAGCAAGGGAGUUCCCUGGUGGUCUAGUGGUUAGGACUAGAUGCUUUCACUGCUGCAGCCCAGGUGCAAUCCCUGGUCUGGGAACAGAGGUCUCACAUCAAGCCACUGCACACAAUGGGCCAAAAAACAAACAAACAAAAAAAAAAAA